GGAUUAGAUACCCCACUAUGCUUUGCCCUAAACAUUGAUAGCCCCUUACAAUUACUAUCCGCCCGGGAACUACGAGCAACAGCUUAAAACCCAAAGGACUUGGCGGUGCUUUAGACCCACCUAGAGGAGCCUGUUCUAAAACCGAUAACCCCCGUUCAACCUCACCUUUUCUUGUUCUCCCCGCCUAUAUACCGCCGUCGUCAGCUUACCCUAUGAAGGCCCCUUAGUAAGCACAAUUGGCACAGCCCAAAACGUCAGGUCGAGGUGUAGCGUAUGGAAAGGGAAGAAAUGGGCUACAUUCCCUACUACAGGGAAUCACGAACAAUAUUACUGAAACGUAUAUCUAGAAGGAGGAUUUAGCAGUAAGCAGAAAAUAGAGUGUUCUGCUGAAACCGGCCCUGAAGCGCGCACACACCGC
rnacentral:rRNA from 1 species